AACGAACGCUGGCGGCAGGCUUAACACAUGCAAGUCGAACGAUGCCUUCGGGCAUAGUGGCGCACGGGUGAGUAACACGUGGGAAUAUACCUUUUGGUGGGGGAUAACGUCGGGAAACUGACGCUAAUACCGCAUAAGCCCUUCGGGGGAAAGAUUUAUCGCACGAAAGAUUAGCCCGCGUCCGAUUAGCUAGUUGGUGAGGUAAUGGCUCACCAAGGGGACGAUCGGUAGCUGGUCUGAGAGGAUGAUCAGCCACACUGGGACUGAGACACGGCCCAGACUCCUCCGGGAGGCAGCAGUGGUGAAUAUUGGACAAUGGGGGCAACCCUGAUCCAGCCAUGCCGCGUGAGUGAUGAAGGCCUUAGGGUUGUAAAGCUCUUUCACCCACGACGAUGAUGACGGUAGUGGGAGAAGAAGCCCCGGCUAACUUCGUGCCAGCAGCCGCGGUAA
rnacentral:rRNA from 1 species